AUGUUCUCUACAUCUCUACUGCUCCUGCUGGCAGCUGCUUCUUAUGUGCAUGGUGAGGAACUGACUCAGCCUGCUUCCAUGACAGUCCAGCCAGGCCAGAGUCUCUCCAUCCAGUGCAAGGUUUCAUAUUCACUUACGAGCUAUGCUACAGCUUGGAUUCGACAGCCUGCAGGAAAAGGUCUGGAGUGGAUUGGAUACAUCGGGACUGGUGGGGGUACAGCUUACAGUGAGAAACUGAAAAAUAAGUUCAGCAUCUCCAGAGACACUUCUACUAACACAAUAACAAUUGGAGGACAGAACAUGCAGACUGAAGACACAGCUGUGUAUUACUGCGCUCGUUACACACAGUGAGACGAAUAAACAACAUCCCUGUACAAAAACUCCAAGUACAGUGAAACCAUGCUAGCUCCAAACAUUCUCCUUCAUUAAAAAAUAAAUAAUAAUGAUAACAAUUCUGACUGAAGCACCAGAGCAUCAUGGACAAUUUGACGGUUGAAUUUUGAUUACAAACGGAAUUGAUUAGGUUCAUAUUCAUUUCACUCUGAUACACAGCUAUCACUAUCUGACAUUCACUCUGUGAGGAAAUAAUACAGUAAAGCUUUACAAAUUUUCAGGUAGACUGACUGUUGAAAUCACUCAUUACACACUCGCUCAUUACUCAUUAUCCUCAUUAUUACUCAUU